CCUACGGGAGGCAGCAGUGAGGAAUAUUGGUCAAUGGGCGAGAGUCUGAACCAGCCAAGUCGCGUGAGUGAAGACUGCCCUCUGGAUUGUAAACUUCUUCUAUAUGGGAAUAAAACAGGGUAUUAAUACCCUCUUGUAUGUACCAUAUGAAUAAGGAUCGGCCAACUCCGUGCCGGCAGCCGCGGUAAUACGGAGGAUCCGAGCGUUAUCCGGAUUUACUGGGUUUAAAGGGAGCGUAGGUGGAUUGUUAAGUCAGUUGUGAAAGUUUGCGGCUCAACCGUAAAACUGCAGUUGAAACUGGCAGUAUUGAGUACAGUAGAGGUGGGCGGAAUUCGUGGUGUAGCGGUGAAAUGCUUAGAUAUCACGAAGAACUCCGAUGGCGAAGGCAGCUCACUGGACUGCAACUGACACUGAUGCUCGAAAGCGUGGGGAUCAAACAGGAUUAGAUACCCCUGUAGUC
rnacentral:rRNA from 1 species